CAGGGAGCCACUGGGCUGGCACGGGGAGCUGUCACGGCCGCGCAGCUGGCGCCCGCCCCCGCCAGGGGGAGCGCCCCGAGAGCCGCCGACGCCGCGGCCGCCGCCACCCGCCCCUCGGGAGCCCGGGACUCCGGCGAGGUCGAGGUGUCAGGACAUCUGCACUCGGGCCUCCCACCCCUAGGGUUCCGCACCCUACACCCCGGUCCUCGGCCCUCGCAGGGAGCCUGGCCGCCAGCCGGACACCAGCCCUGGAGAGAGGAAGAGAAGAGAAGGGGACAGAAGAAGUGCUUCCCGCAGAGGGGACACUGCCGUCUGCUGGAUUUAAAAGUGAGGCCUCUUUAAAACAAAUACCGUGAUCUACCAGAUCCAAUACCACAUCAAUUAUAAGACGUACCCUUUUUAUCUCCACUAUAAAUGCAAACGCACUGUCAAUUAACUGCAAGAAGCCACUGAUUAUAAGACAUCUGAGUUAUGGAGAUGUUGAAAACAAAAAGGCAUCUUAGAACCCAUGAACUACGAAACCUGAAUUUGUGAAGACAGUACCACAUUUAAAGACUUACUGGAACUCACCUUAAAUAAUGUCCUGCUAAAGCAACCAUGCGACACUGAAUGAAUCAUGACUUAGCUGCAGUUAUUUCACUUCUAAAAGAAAAGGAAUAAACUAGGUAUUAUCUUGUUCUCAAGCUUUAAUCUCUCUGAUUGGCAACUUCCCUAGAUUUGAUAUUGGUCAGGCCUGGAAGAACAGAACAUCAAUUUAGUUUUCUACUUGAGGAUUGCAUCUUGAAUGGCUGGAGGAAAUGCAGAAAUUGUGGAAAUGUGGGAAUUAGUGAAAAUGCAAAAUGGAUCAGAGAGAAAUUUCACAAAUUUGCUUAGGUUCAACCCUAACAGGUAAAUUAAACAAUUGAUAUUAUGCGGGAUUUUUUUAACAUGUCUUAAAGAAUGGUAGAUCACGUACUGACUAAUAUAUUUAUUUGAUACUGAAAAUGGGUUUUUGUCUUUUAAUUCCCUUAAUUUUCAAUUAUAAUAAGUAGCAUUGGGAUAGAUGCCAGGACA